UGCUGUUAGAGGGGUAUAUAAGGCCAUGUUUGUGUGAAUAAAGAGAGCUGCUUCCCUGAUGAACGGAGACUGGGUGUCCUGAGUGCUGUUUAACCUCGGCGUCCCUCGCCAGAUUUCGUGCUCCAGCUGCGCGGGUCGCAGCAAGUGGAGGGGUCGCAGCAAGUGGAGGUCUCACCGAGACCUGGAAAGAGGGGUGCUGAAAAGCCCAUUUGGCUCCCAGAAAGGUGUAUAUGCCUGGCAGAAGAGAUUGAUAAAAAUGCAUCUGUGGAUACUGUGGCUGAUGAUGAUGCUCAUGAUGAUGCCUCAGGGAGAAGCUGAGCCAUUAUGGAGUUUAGUAAGAAAUCCACCUGUGUUACUGCCUGUGAGUAUUGAUAGCCCUGUUUUUCCUGCUGUAUUUUCUUCUAAUUGGACAAUUGGUACUGCUGCCAGCAAUGUAAAACUCCAAGACAGCUGGCAACAAUAAUACCAAUGAUAUCUCCUUGAAUCUGAAAGGCAGCUUUCAUGAUUGCCUAGUCCUGAGUAGCAAUAGUACGGCUUUUAAUGGAACUGCUUUUUGGAAUGCAUCAUCUAGUUUUGAAGAAUCCAUCAAUAUUAAUUCUACACAUGCUUUCCCUAUUAUUUCCAUGCCCUGUGUAAGUGCUCCUUUCCCUUUUGUUGUUUGGAAUGGUGAUGUGGGAGGGGAGGGACUACUAAACUAUUCAGUUCUGAAUUGUAGCUUGAGUAAUUGCUGGAGUGCAAAUUGGUCCCAUGCAGUGAUUGUGAGAAUACCUGCAUUUGCAGUGAUGCCUCUGGAGAGUCCUUCUGAUCAGUCUCCGCUGCAAUUGAAGAGGACAAGAAGAGACUUGGGCAUUACUGCCGCAAUUGUUGCAGCUGUGGCUGCAUCUGCUGUUGCUGCUACAGCUGCUUGGCUUGCAUUAUCUCAGACUGUUCAACAGGCUGCCGUUAUCAACACAUUAUCUGAGAGGGUGGCUGGUGCCUUGGACAUUCAGCAAACAUUAAAUGGACAAUUACACUUUGGAAUUCUGAUGCUUAAUCAGCAAGCAGCACUGGUACAAGAACAAAUAGAUAUGUUGUGGAUACACCAACAUAUGUUAUGUGCUUAUGGAAUGUCAGAAGUUUGUAUAACCCCUCAUGCAGCUUUUAAUGCAUUGGCCAAGGUUGCAGAAUUGAAUGCUUGUUUGUGAGGGCCUUGGAAUGGAACAUUUUUGAACUAUACAAUUCAGUUAGCACACGCUAUUGUAAGGAUUAAUGAAACUAGAGUUGUUCCUGUAAAUAAGCAGACCUGGUGGUCAUUAAUGUCUAAAGCUACUGGGUAGAUUACUAAAUGGGCAGGGUCUGUUUCCCUCUUAUUAAUCUGUGCAGGCGGUAUGGGAAUUGGGUUAUUUCUGCUAUGCCAAUGGCAACGCCAGUCCACUCGACACCAACAGGUAACCAAGCAAGCCCUUCUGGCCAUGUCACCCUCUGAAUCUGCACAAGUAUGAUUACAAAUGUUGGACAGAUAGUACCCAGAGACAGGCAACUCCUGUAGUCCUCAUGCGACCUAAGGCAGGGGGCAUAAGGGCAGCCCCCUAUGACGGGUAAGUUUGGGGAUUGCAGCAGGUGACCUAAGGCAGGGGCUAUCUGAUCUUCCACAGGCUGUUCUAGCCAAUGUGUUCCUUUUGAAAAUAAAAAGGGAGGACAUGUCAGCAGCAGUAAGUUUGCUGCCUUAAUUUUAAAUGCCCUUUUUUGUCCUGUCCCAGUUAAGUUGUUUGUGUGAAAAUGUGCAGUUGGGUUCUUCAAAGUGCUGGGGAUCAGUUCCACCCUGUGGUUUUUCCUGUUUGGUAAACAGUGUCCGGCUUGCCUCCGGAUACAGAGUAACCAUUCCUUGACCCCUGCUGUUAGAGGGGUAUAUAAGCUCAUGUUGGUACGAAUAAAGAGAGCUGCUUCCCUGAUGAACGGA